CAGUAGCCGCGGUAAUACGAAGGGGGCUAGCGUUGUUCGGAAUCACUGGGCGUAAAGGGUGCGUAGGCGGGAUCUUAAGUCAGGGGUGAAAUCCCGAGGCUCAACCUCGGAACUGCCUUUGAUACUGGGGUCCUUGGGUCCGGAAGAGGUGAGUGGAACUGCGAGUGUAGAGGUGAAGUUCGUAGAUAUUCGCAAGAACACCGGUGGCGAAGGCGGCUCACUGGUCCGGAACUGACGCUGAGGCACGACAGCGUGGGGAGCAAACAGGAUUAGAUACCCGCGUAGUCCCUGUCUCUUAUAC
rnacentral:rRNA from 1 species